UGCUUGCUUUGAAUUUUAAAUUGCCUGUAAUGUUAUAUUCAUAUUGGUUUAUUAUUCUAUGUGAAAGGAAUUCUAUGCAAGUAGAAUAUUAAAAAGAGGAAUAAGCACUAUGUAAUCUUUGUGUACUAAACACUUUAAGAUUCAACAGAUCGUUAAUACUGGCAAAACAGAUUUUUUCCUCUGAAUAUUUGCACAGAGAAGAUCUCUUCAACUAUGGGAAUUAAAGAUGAUGAAAAACUGGUUGUCUCUCAGUCAUUCAGAAUUUAAUUAGCUGCCAGGGAGCAAUUAUCAUCAAAAGCAGUUGAUGUCAAAGAUAUCAGCUCAUACAUUAACCGACAGGGCUCCUUAACAGACAGUGAAAGGCAUCAUGUCCUGAAGAAAGACUGGGUUCCACAGUUUGAGUUCACAAAGACACAAUGUGGCCAACUUUGUUCUUUGCUGUCUCCCAAGGAUUCAUGUAUACUGAUAUGUAAAGAAAUAGGAAAUCGCAUAACUAUGAGGCCAAAAAGUGUGCUGUAAUGACUUUAUAUGCUGGAAAAUUCGUCCAUUUUAAUAAUCAUAAUAAUGUGCUAUCGAGUAGCUUUCAUUAACUACAAAAAGA